rnacentral:lncRNA from 1 species
GAUAGAGCAGACAUUUUGGUUAUUCUGUAGAGUUCUUUAAAAACGAACUUAAAUAAUGGAAUUAUUUAAUAGUUUAAUACAGUAAAGCACUCACGGGAGACAGGUGAAGAUGUGUUGUGUAAGGUAGCUAGUGUGAUCAAGUCCAUAAUUUGGUCACCGUGUUUUGGUCACCGUUUGACUAGGAAAAUGUUAAUUAGAUAAAUACCAGACCGUUUAGUGUCUAAGACAAUAUAAAGAUGUGAUACAAAAUGUGAUACAAUUGAUAAAUAAUAAAAAGGACAUUUCGAACCAUGCAAACAACAUUGGUUAUUCUUUAUUAAGUAGUUAGAACUCAAACUACCAUAUAUAAAAUAAGCCAUAGUUACACUU